ACCAGGAUGGCCGAGUGGUUAAGGCGUUGGACUUAAGAUCCAAUGGACUCAUGUCCGCGUGGGUUCGAACCCCACUCCUGGUA
rnacentral:tRNA from 1 species